rnacentral:lncRNA from 1 species
GCCCCACCCACUAGAGCACCAAUUUAAUCCAGCUCAGCCAGGUAGGGCAGCCUGUGCUAGGGAAUGGCCCCAUCCAACAGCAAGCCCUCAGGCAACUUGUGGACCUGCAUAGGCUGGGUGCCUGGACCCUCUGCAAAGGAUGAGCCAGAGAAAAUAAAGUGCAGAGCCCCAGGUCAGAGUAAGUUGCCUUCAUAAUCACAAGACUUGAAUCUGGAAAAUGGCCUGGAAGCUAAUGACAAUCAUCUUGACACCUUCUAGAGUCUGAGAGUGAAAAUGAAGUCAAGAUAAACAAGAGAGUCAAGAGAUGGAGAGAGAUGGGUCCUGGGUGAAAUUCUCUGAGGCUCUAAAUCCAUUUUUGCCUGAUGCAUGAUCCAUUGUAAAAUUUAAACAUCCUGUUUCACUUAAGAAAAAUUUGGUUAGUAUAUCAAUGUGUGUAUGACACAUAACACACACAUCAUACAUACAUAUUAUGUAUAUAUACCUAUAUACACAUGCUGUUCCAUUUACAUUUACUUCUUUUUUUUUUUUUUUUUAGAUUUUAUUUUUUCCUUUUUCUUCCCAAAGCCCCCUGGUACAUAGUUGUGUAUUAAUUCGUUGUGGGUUCUUCUAGUUGUGGCAUGUGGGACGCUGCCUCAGCGUGGUUUGAUGAGCAGUGCUAUGUCCGCGCCCAGGAUUCGAACUAAUGAAACACUGAGCCGCCUGCAGCGGAGCGCGCGAACUUAACCACUCGGCCAC